rnacentral:rRNA from 1 species
CCACUUAGUUGCCAUCAUUUAGUUGGGCACUCUAGUGAGACUGCCGGUGACAAACCGGAGGAAGGUGGGGAUGACGUCAAGUCCUCAUGGCCCUUAUGGGUAGGGCUUCACACGUCAUACAAUGGUCGGUACAGAGGGUUGCCAAGCCGCGAGGUGGAGCCAAUCCCUUAAAGCCGAUCGUGGUCCGGAUCGUAGUCUGCAACUCGACUACGUGAAGUCGGAAUCGCUAGUAAUCGCAGAUCAGCAUGCUGCGGUGAAUACGUUCCCGGGUCUU